GACCACGUUUUUCAAGGGGCUGAUGUUCUGCGUUUCACUCAAGGUCACUUAGAAGCAUUGAGAGCUGCCAUCCUUGCCCAGUUUGCCACCUCCUUGGCCCUCGGGGAGGAGGCGAGCCUCUCAAGGGACCCAGUGGUUUGGUUGAAGUAAAUCCAAGUCACCAGAGGCCGGAUAUGACCCCAAAGGGAAGUUUCAUCAACUUUCAUUUCCAUUCACUCCUGGGCCACUGGCCUGCCGGGGAUACUGCUGAGCCGUCAGAAAUGAGUCAGGAAAACUUUGAAAAGUGUGGGUUUCCCCCGCAGAGCCCAGAACACCCCAGAGACAUCGCCAACACUAAGAUGGGCACAGGAGCAACCGUUCCAAGAUGGGAUGUGAUUCAGAAAUUGUCUCAAAGCACUGCUUUUCCAGUGAAAUCACUGACCUUGGACCGAAGCUGAGGCGAUACCUCCAGGCGUUUCCCCAAAAGCUCAGCCUCUCCUGGGGGCCUCCUCUCGCUGGGCCAGGAAGCUCAUUCUCACAGGUUCCAUCUGGUCCAC
rnacentral:lncRNA from 1 species